rnacentral:rRNA from 1 species
GAUGAACGCUGGCGGCGUGCCUAAUACAUGCAAGUCGAGCGAACGGACGAGAAGCUUGCUUCUCUGAUGUUAGCGGCGGACGGGUGAGUAACACGUGGAUAACCUACCUAUAAGACUGGGAUAACUUCGGGAAACCGGAGCUAAUACCGGAUAAUAUUUUGAACCGCAUGGUUCAAAAGUGAAAGACGGUCUUGCUGUCACUUAUAGAUGGAUCCGCGCUGCAUUAGCUAGUUGGUAAGGUAACGGCUUACCAAGGCAACGAUGCAUAGCCGACCUGAGAGGGUGAUCGGCCACACUGGAACUGAGACACGGUCCAGACUCCUACGGGAGGCAGCAGUAGGGAAUCUUCCGCAAUGGGCGAAAGCCUGACGGAGCAACGCCGCGUGAGUGAUGAAGGUCUUCGGAUCGUAAAACUCUGUUAUUAGGGAAGAACAUAUGUGUAAGUAACUGUGCACAUCUUGACGGUACCUAAUCAGAAAGCCACGGCUAACUACGUGCCAGCAGCCGCGGUAAUACGUAGGUGGCAAGCGUUAUCCGGAAUUAUUGGGCGUAAAGCGCGCGUAGGCGGUUUUUUAAGUCUGAUGUGAAAGCCCACGGCUCAACCGUGGAGGGUCAUUGGAAACUGGAAAACUUGAGUGCAGAAGAGGAAAGUGGAAUUCCAUGUGUAGCGGUGAAAUGCGCAGAGAUAUGGAGGAACACCAGUGGCGAAGGCGACUUUCUGGUCUGUAACUGACGCUGAUGUGCGAAAGCGUGGGGAUCAAACAGGAUUAGAUACCCUGGUAGUCCACGCCGUAAACGAUGAGUGCUAAGUGUUAGGGGGUUUCCGCCCCUUAGUGCUGCAGCUAACGCAUUAAGCACUCCGCCUGGGGAGUACGACCGCAAGGUUGAAACUCAAAGGAAUUGACGGGGACCCGCACAAGCGGUGGAGCAUGUGGUUUAAUUCGAAGCAACGCGAAGAACCUUACCAAAUCUUGACAUCCUUUGACAACUCUAGAGAUAGAGCUUUCCCCUUCGGGGGACAAAGUGACAGGUGGUGCAUGGUUGUCGUCAGCUCGUGUCGUGAGAUGUUGGGUUAAGUCCCGCAACGAGCGCAACCCUUAAGCUUAGUUGCCAUCAUUAAGUUGGGCACUCUAAGUUGACUGCCGGUGACAAACCGGAGGAAGGUGGGGAUGACGUCAAAUCAUCAUGCCCCUUAUGAUUUGGGCUACACACGUGCUACAAUGGACAAUACAAAGGGCAGCGAAACCGCGAGGUCAAGCAAAUCCCAUAAAGUUGUUCUUAGUUCGGAUUGUAGUCUGCAACUCGACUACAUGAAGCUGGAAUCGCUAGUAAUCGUAGAUCAGCAUGCUACGGUGAAUACGUUCCCGGGUCU